rnacentral:misc_RNA from 1 species
AGUCGUAACAAGGUUUCCGUAGGUGAACCUGCGGAAGGAUCAUUAAAGAGUAAGGGUGCUCAGCGCCCGACCUCCAACCCUUUGUUGUUAAAACUACCUUGUUGCUUUGGCGGGACCGCUCGGUCUCGAGCCGCUGGGGAUUCGUCCCAGGCGAGCGCCCGCCAGAGUUAAACCAAACUCUUGUUAUUUAACCGGUCGUCUGAGUUAAAAUUUUGAAUAAAUCAAAACUUUCAACAACGGAUCUCUUGGUUCUCGCAUCGAUGAAGAACGCAGCGAAAUGCGAUAAGUAAUGUGAAUUGCAGAAUUCAGUGAAUCAUCGAAUCUUUGAACGCACAUUGCGCCCCUUGGUAUUCCGAGGGGCAUGCCUGUUCGAGCGUCAUUACACCACUCAAGCUAUGCUUGGUAUUGGGCGUCGUCCUUAGUUGGGCGCGCCUUAAAGACCUCGGCGAGGCCACUCCGGCUUUAGGCGUAGUAGAAUUUAUUCGAACGUCUGUCAAAGGAGAGGAACUCUGCCGACUGAAACCUUUAUUUUUCUAGGUUGACCUCGGAUCAGGUAGGGAUACCCGCUGAACUUAAGCAUAUCAAUAAGCGGAGGAAAAGAAACCAACAGGGAUUGCCCUAGUAACGGCGAGUGAAGCGGCAACAGCUCAAAUUUGAAAGCUAGCCUUCGGGUUCGCAUUGUAAUUUGUAGAGGAUGAUUUG